GAACACAGCAGGUGAGAACAGCAGGAGGCUUGGAGACCUUUCUGACUUUGCAGGUAGUCCCUAUGUGGCAGAGCUUUGGUUCUCUUUCAGAAGUGCACUUGAUGACCAUGGGAGGAAAGCUUUUGGGUCGCUCACUGGAAACCUCUGAAUUGAUACUGUUCUUCUCAUCUUUCUGUGGAAGAAGUCCCAGCAACAGCCAGGCUUCAGAAUGUGCCCUCUCCAUCUGGGGUCCCCAAAUGCCCAGGGCCAUCUCUCCACCAGUGUGAGAUGCACCUUGCACCCCUCGGAGGAGAGCAGGGUGCGGAGCCUCACCCCGGGAGUGUGAAGUUGAACGGGCUGCAGCAUCCCCAGGGUCCCAGUGCCUCGGAGCGUGGCUGUGUUUGCACAAAGACUUUGAGAGAGGCGGGGAGUCUGCCCACAGGACUGAUGCCACCCGUUCCAGUAGCCCCAGUCAUAAACCCAACACCACGGGAAGCAAGCUGA
rnacentral:lncRNA from 1 species